rnacentral:SRP_RNA from 1 species
GCCAGGUGUGGUGGCUCACACCUGUAAUCCCAGCAUUUUGGGAGGCUGAGGUGGGAGGAUCACUUGAGCUCAGGAGUUCAAGACCAGCCUGGGCAACAUAGUGAGACCCCCCUCAU